rnacentral:rRNA from 1 species
GACGAACGCUGGCGGCGUGCUUAACACAUGCAAGUCGAACGGUGAAGCGCCUUCCUUUUUGGUGGGUGUGGAUGAGUGGCGAACGGGUGAGUAACACGUGAGUAACCUGCCCCCUUUUUCUGGAUAACCGCAUGAAAGUGUGGCUAAUACGGGAUAUUCUGGGUCUGUCGCAUGAUGGGUCUGGGAAAGAUAUUGUUUCGGUGGGGGAUGGGCUCGCGGCCUAUCAGUUUGUUGGUGGGGUGAUGGCCUACCAAGGCGGUGACGGGUAGCCGGCCUGGGAGGGUGGACGGUCACACUGGGACUGAGACGCGGCCCAGACUCCGACGGGAGGCAGCAGUGGAGAAUAUUGCACGGUGGGCGCAAGCCUGAUGCAGCGACGCCGCGUGAGAGAUGGAGGCCUUCGGGUUGUGAACCUCUUUCGCCAGUGAAGCAGACCUGCCUCGUUUGUGGGUGGGUUGACGGUAGCUAGAGAAGAAGCACCGGCUAACUACGUG